AUAACAUUUGGAAACAGAUGCUAAUACCGCAUAACAAUUUGAAUCGCAUGAUUCAAAUUUAAAAGGUGGCUUCGGCUAUCACUUUGGGAUGGACCUGCGGCGCAUUAGCUUGUUGGUAGGGUAACGGCCUACCAAGGCUGUGAUGCGUAGCCGAGUUGAGAGACUGAUCGGCCACAAUGGAACUGAGACACGGUCCAUACUCCUACGGGAGGCAGCAGUAGGGAAUCUUCCACAAUGGGCGCAAGCCUGAUGGAGCAACACCGCGUGAGUGAAGAAGGGUUUCGGCUCGUAAAGCUCUGUUGUUAGAGAAGAACGUGCGUGAGAGCAACUGUUCACGCAGUGACGGUAUCUAACCAGAAAGUCACGGCUAACUACGUGCCAGCAGCCGCGGUAAUACGUAGGUGGCAAGCGUUAUCCGGAUUUAUUGGGCGUAAAGCGAGCGCAGGCGGUUUGAUAAGUCUGAUGUGAAAGCCUUUGGCUUAACCAAAGAAGUGCAUCGGAAACUGUCAGACUUGAGUGCAGAAGAGGACAGUGGAACUCCAUGUGUAGCGGUGGAAUGCGUAGAUAUAUGGAAGAACACCAGUGGCGAAGGCGGCUGUCUGGUCUGCAACUGACGCUGAGGCUCGAAAGCAUGGGUAGCGAACAGGAUUAGAUACCCUGGUAGUCCAUGCCGU
rnacentral:rRNA from 1 species